rnacentral:rRNA from 1 species
CAGUCGAGCGAGCGGAACAACAGAUUUACUUCGGUAAUGACGUUGGGAAAGCGAGCGGCGGAUGGGUGAGUAACACGUGGGGAACCUGCCCCUAAGUCUGGGAUACCAUUUGGAAACAGGUGCUAAUACCGGAUAAUAAAGCGGAUCGCAUGAUCAGCUUUUGAAAGGCGGCGUAAGCUGUCGCUAAGGGAUGGCCCCGCGGUGCAUUAGCUAGUUGGUAAGGUAACGGCUUACCAAAGCGACGAUGCAUAGCCGAGUUGAGAGACUGAUCGGCCACAUUGGGACUGAGACACGGCCCAAACUCCUAUGGGAGGCAGCAGUAGGGAAUCUUCCACAAUGGACGCAAGUCUGAUGGAGCAACGCCGCGUGAGUGAAGAAGGUUUUCGGAUCGUAAAGCUCUGUUGUUGGUGAAGAAGGAUAGAGGUAGUAACUGGCCUUUAUUUGACGGUAAUCAACCAGAAAGUCACGGCUAACUACGUGCCAGCAGCCGCGGUAAUACGUAGGUGGCAAGCGUUGUCCGGAUUUAUUGGGCGUAAAGCGAGCGCAGGCGGAAAAAUAAGUCUAAUGUGAAAGCCCUCGGCUUAACCGAGGAACUGCAUCGGAAACUGUUUUUCUUGAGUGCAGAAGAGGAGAGUGGAACUCCAUGUGUAGCGGUGGAAUGCGUAGAUAUAUGGAAGAACACCAGUGGCGAAGGCGGCUCUCUGGUCUGCAACUGACGCUGAGGCUCGAAAGCAUGGGUAGCGAACAGGAUUAGAUACCCUGGUAGUCCAUGCCGUAAACGAUGAGUGCUAAGUGUUGGGAGGUUUCCGCCUCUCAGUGCUGCAGCUAACGCAUUAAGCAC